UACGGGGGGAGCAAGCGUUGUUCGGAUUUACUGGGCGUAAAGGGCGCGUAGGCGGCGCAACCAGUCACUUGUGAAAUCUUCAGGCUUAACCUGAAGCGGCCAAGUGAUACUGUCGUGCUAGAGUGCGGAAGGGGCAACUGGAAUUCUUGGUGUAGCGGUGAAAUGCGUAGAUAUCAAGAGGAACACCUGCGGCGAAGGCGGGUUGCUGGGCCGACACUGACGCUGAGGCGCGAAAGCUAGGGGAGCGAACGGG
rnacentral:rRNA from 1 species